UGAGGAACAUGACCUUCGGCGGGGGAUAGCCGGCCCAACGGCCGGGUAAUACCGCGUACGACCACAUGGGGACAUCCCUGAGUGGUGAAAGCAGCAAUGCGCCGAUGGAGUGCCUCGCGGCCUAUCAGCUAGUUGGUGGGGUAAUGGCUCACCAAGGCGACGACGGGUAGCUGGUCUGAGAGGAUGGCCAGCCACAUUGGGACUGAGACACGGCCCAGACCUCUACGGGA
rnacentral:rRNA from 1 species